rnacentral:lncRNA from 1 species
CAACAUAGUAGCAAAUUCACUUUCUACCUAUUCUUGGAUGACUCCCCAAACAAUAUUAUCUACAGCCCAGACGUUUCUAAGCUCCAGGCCCCACCGCACACCAGGCAUCUCUACUUGAUUGUCUACAUCCUUCUGGCUUGCUGUGUUUCAGACUGAACUUCCUCCUAUAUUCUUCUCAGAGAAGGGCUCUACCAUCUGCUGAAUUGCUCAAAUUUGAUUCCCUUCCCCGCAUCCAGCAGUUGCUCUUUCUUGUCCAUUCUGUUUCUUGUCUCUUGAAUCCACCCCCAUCACAUGGUCCCACCUGCCUCUCCCCUAGGCCAGGCCCGUGCCACCUUUUCCCCAGACUCUUCCUGCAGCUUUACUCCG